GGGUCGUUAGCUCAGUCGGUAGAGCAGUUGACUCUUAAUCGCUUGGUCGCUGGUUCAAGUCCAGCAGGGGCCACCA
rnacentral:tRNA from 1 species